rnacentral:lncRNA from 1 species
AAGACCCUAAAAAGAAAAUACAAAAUAAGUACAAAGAUCCAAAGCCCCAAUACUAUAACUAAUCGCUGGCAUUUGUGCCGGAAGUAAGGGUAUUCAGAUCAACAAAACCAGCAGGGGCCGAUAGGUCGGGGAUAGGAGUCACUCCUCCACUUCAUCAUCUUCAACAUCAUCCACAUUUUCAUCUUCAUAGGAAGUAAGACAUCGCAUAUCUGGAGAGGGGAUACCAAGUCAUCGAGCCAAUUCCUCUAAUUGAGGAACCUCAAGUUGAAAAUCAACCGCACUAGUGCGAACUUCGUGAAGGGUGUGCAAGCGGGUUUCAAUAAUGGCCCAGGAUCAUAGGGUGCUUGUUUUGGCAAGUUCUUGAAGUCCAUUUGAAUGGUCUCACAAUCGACAUUAUUGGCCUGGACUAUCUCCUCAGUCAGGGCCAACUCCGACCUUAGCCUCUAAAUCUCAACUGAUAAACGGGAACACUCUUCCAUUAGACAAACCUCCUCAUCGGCCUUAAAGACCAGAUCGACCUGGAGGGAAAAAAGCCUACCAUUGGCCCUAGAGCAUUCAGCCAGUAGAGCUGCCUCACUUUUCAAAAAUUGGCCAUUCUCUUUUCAGCGCUCCUCUCUGCGGCUUUGGUCCUGGCCAAGAGUGAUCCCUUCUAUUCUUUGAGCUUCUGGAGCUCGACCCUCAAUGUCCGGUCAUACUUUACUACUUCCUUGGACCUAGUGGCAUCCUCUCAAACCCUCUUUAAAGUCCUCGAACUGAGCACUGUGAUCUACAAAAAUAAAUGACUUAUGCUAUGUUAAUGAUCGGCAAAGCCUAAUAGAAAAGGAUCACUUUAGAAGACUUACCCUUACAGCUUCAUUAGCCAUUUGCGUCACCAUUGCCUCAUCACUCAUAGACUCUAUCUGUUUCUGUCUUGGGGACUCGCUAUCUAAGGAAGAUGAGCGGCAAUGUGCUUGGGCUCCUUGAAUUUUUUGACCCAGCUUGGCACCGAUAAUUGAUAUGACGGCAAUCAGAAGUCUUCUCUAUAGGAACAAGGGGACCGUCAUGAGCCGACAAAGCCACCUCAUUGUAACCUUCUCGAGAACUCGCCUCUUCAGUAGAAGGGACAGUCUGGAAAGGCAGAACCUAUCGCUCACUUGAGGGAACCAUAACUCUCUCCUUAGAUGAGAGAAGUCACCUUAUCAGCAUACCCUCAUUCGAAAUUAUAUCUAUCGUGGCCUCUGCCACCAGGCCUCCCUAUGGAAUAACCCCUACAAAUGAAAUAAUAGUGGUUUCCUCCCCAAAGUCAACUUGGAUGGGGUCGGUAUACAUUUAUCAUCCGAUAACACCAUCAUAAAUAGUCGGUGGAAUGGAUCGAGUGGCACCCUCUCCUAACCCAAAUGGCUGGGACUUUUUCUCAGAAAUACGCUUCCUCUUUGAAGAACCGGAGGAAGAUGGUUUCAAAAGAACAUUCUCCAAAAUCGUGAGGAUCAGUUCUCGAAUCAACCAAGACACCUCUUCUACAGAACCAACCCAAGGCUUUGGUCUUUUAUUAACCCCCACACCUAUGUAAAUCUGCAUAUGUUAGACACAACAAAGAUGAAGGAGAAAAAUGAAGUUUUAAACUUAAAGAAGUAUCACCAUGAUACUUCUCUCGAAAACCUCCUAGGUAGGCCUCUAUAAUUUUCCAUGACCUAGAAAUUUCGGUGGAUACCCCUUAAGAUCUUGGAUACCCAAUCCUCUAUGUCCAGAACCGCUUAUACCUCCGCCGCUUAUACCUCCACCACAGUAGCUGAACAAUAUAGUACGUGGUAAAAAGGUCUUCUCUAAUUUAAUCCAGGAAAGUGAAAAAGACAGAAAGAUUUACGGGUAAAACUCCAUUUCUCCGGGUCUUCGUGCCCGGCCAAAGGAAAUUGGUUUGGAUGACUACGUAUCGUUCACACCACCAACUAUCGAAGUAAUUCUCAUAGUCCAAGAUGAGAGCCUUCGAACCCUGCUACGUCAUAUUAAUCAUGCCCCUCGGUAGAUAUUGGGAGAGUACAGAUGAAGUAAAUGCUAGUAUGUAGAAGGGACAUCAACCUUGGAAGCCAAGUGUCAACGGACCAUCACCAAGAUCCAUACCUGAGGGUCUAUUAGUGCAAGGCACAACUGGUAAUUGAAGCAAAACUUAUCCACGAUCUUGUCCACCAUAAGGGAAAAGCCCAUCAAGAAGGGAUACGUCCUAAUGAAUGAGUUCCCACGCGGUGACAUGUAAUCCUCUCCUCCCCUCGAGGGAGUCCAGGAAAAGAUUCGUCCUGCUCUCCUACCUGUAGUCCCUUUAAUCAAUAGGGAAGAUAUGAUUUGUUAUAAGAGUUGGGAAGUUUUACACGGAGACCUGCCUUCUAGUGUUCUCCUUGAUGUUGAAAUUAUUAUCUUUCCUCAACUCUUUUGGCACUAUGUCCGAAAUUGUUUGUUCCGGCUGAUCGGCCAACUCGACAUUUUUCGCUCCUCCUUUUCUUUGUUAGUGGCAACAUUACCUCCACCACAGUCACAUUUGUAGCAGCAACGGCGGUGUCACACCCCUUUUUCUCGCGAAAGCGGGUUUCGACAUGUGACAACUCUUUUAAAUGGGUAUUAAAAUAGAAGAGUCAUCACCUAAUGAUUUUAAGGUGUGUUAGGGCAUCUAUUUGCAAAUAACUCCGUUUGACUAAU